rnacentral:rRNA from 1 species
AUUGAACGCUGGCGGCAUGCCUUACACAUGCAAGUCGAACGGUAACAGGUCUUCGGAUGCUGACGAGUGGCGAACGGGUGAGUAAUACAUCGGAACGUGCCUAGUAGUGGGGGAUAACUACUCGAAAGAGUGGCUAAUACCGCAUGAGAUCUACGGAUGAAAGCAGGGGAUCGCAAGACCUUGUGCUACUAGAGCGGCCGAUGGCAGAUUAGGUAGUUGGUGGGAUAAAAGCUUACCAAGCCGACGAUCUGUAGCUGGUCUGAGAGGACGAUCAGCCACACGGGGACUGAGACACGGCCCAGACUCCUACGGGAGGCAGCAGUGGGGAAUUUUGGACAAUGGGCGCAAGCCUGAUCCAGCAAUGCCGCGUGCAGGAUGAAGGCCUUCGGGUUGUAAACUGCUUUUGUACGGAACGAAAGGCCCUGGGUUAAUACCCUGGGGUCAUGACGGUACCGUAAGAAUAAGCACCGGCUAACUACGUGCCAGCAGCCGCCGCAGUAA